rnacentral:rRNA from 1 species
UACGUAGGGUGCGAGCGUUAAUCGGAAUUACUGGGCGUAAAGCGUGCGCAGGCGGUUCGUUAAGUUCGUUGUGAAAGCCCCGGGCUCAACCUGGGAAUGGCAAUGGAAACUGGCGAGCUUGAGUGUGGCAGAGGGGGGUGGAAUUCCGCGUGUAGCAGUGAAAUGCGUAGAGAUGCGGAGGAACACCGAUGGCGAAGGCAGCCCCCUGGGCCAACACUGACGCUCAGGCACGAAAGCGUGGGGAGCAAACAGG